GUAGUAUAAUUAAUUACAUUUAAUUUCGGCUUAAAAAAUAAUUUACAUAAAUUC
rnacentral:tRNA from 1 species